AUUUUACUCCCCAGACUGUGAAGAGACAGGGAGUAAAAGAGGCAGAGCAAAGCACGCGGGGGGGGGGGGGGGGGGAGAGAGGGGGGAAGAGAGAGAGAGAGAGAGAGGGAGAGAGAGAGAGAGAGACAGAGGCAGAGACACAGACACAGACACAGACAGAAAGCCUGAGAGAAGGUGGACGGACCCAGCAGCCGCAGCCCAGCUCCUCCCGGACCGGGCACCCUGCCGACGGCCCUGACUCCCCGGGCCACCCCAGGAGCAGCUCAAGUCCUGGGCAGAAGUUAUGGCUUAAGAGACUUACUUCAAACUCCUUGGAGUACCUCCCUGCUAAAUACCUGCUUAAGUCUGGAGGUUCAAAUGAAGUCCUCCUCCCGCCAUCGUGUGUCACCUCCCUCCUUCUCUCUCGAGUUUGGAGGACUCUAACCUUGAUUUUCCAGCUUUGA
rnacentral:lncRNA from 1 species